AGGGGUGUGGGGAGCGGAGGGGCUGGGAAAGAGCCUCAGGGGCUGAACUCAGCAGCCUGGUUCCAGCGGUUUCCCGAGAAGCACACAUAUAUUUUGUUUUGAGACUCCCAUAUCUAAAACUGUCCCUCUACCCUUUUACUGGAUUAGUAUUUUGGCAGCACACAGAAUUCUAGGCUAAUUAUGUGUCAUCUGAUGAUUCUAAGCUACCAAAAUGAGUUCUGAUAAGGUGAUACAAGCUCAGUGAUACAGUUUUAGCUAAACUCCGAAAAUUUCUUUAAUGUACGUUCCAUCUUCCCAUAAGCACGGCGACCCCACAAGGAGAAAUUCAUUAUCCUUGUUCUAGAAGAGGCUUUCAUCAUUUUUUUUGCCACUACCUUUAAAAUCAGCACUUAGCUAUUCACCCCAAAUCUACCGAUUCCCACCCAUCCUUCACAUGGAUGCUGCAUUUAUGAACAAGUCUGGUCCAGCUACUUCCACAUUUCAACAGGACAAAUUCUAAACCAUCAGAGUAAUUUUCCAAUCAGAACAAAUACUAACAAGGAAGUGACACACAGCAGUCCGUCCUCUGCUUCCUAACAGGACUCUAUGAGAACAUGGUGAUGUCCUACCACAAAGAAAGCAACACCUGAUUAUCAAUAACUUCUCUGGUCCGGCCAAGGAUGAGCAAGGAACAAAGAGCUUUUAGAACAUUAAGCAUACAUCUAAAUUUAUUUGACCUGAGGAUCCAGCCUGGCCUCUCAAGAGCAGACGCUCACAUGAUAAAACGUGCUGGGAACUCACCAUGUACUCAGCAAAGGGAAGCAAAGGGGUAUUAAUCAAUGUUUUGAUUAAUUACACGUACAUAGAAUUUAAGACAAAGUAAAGGCUCUUCCAUCCCCGCAAGUCCCCAGAGAAAAUUUAUAACAGCAAAGUAUCAUCAUUACUAAAUUAGAGCGUGACCAGAGGGGGAAAAAAAGUUGGCUGAAUGGACCAGCAGGUGAGAUGAAGAGUUGAUUGUCUUCAAACGUAAAAUAUCUCAAGCAAGAAAAGAAGAAAAAAGUCUCUUCAAUAAAUGUUGGCAAUAUUUUCGAGAUUUUUUUCUUUUUUUGGUGCAAGGACAGUAAAGGAAAACAAAGGGCACUCAACUAAUUAGAAGAUAAACUGUGAUUCUCCGAAGAAAACCAGCCCCCAUCUCAGGAAACUUCCAUAGGAGAGGACAUGACUCACCAGUCCAUUCCCAGGUCCAACCACUGUUUCUAAUGAAUGAACUGGCGCUAUUAUUUAAAAGGAUCAGAAUCUAUAGUGAGGUAGUAGAACAGAGUAUGGGGGCAGGGAACCUAAGGCCGAUUCACGCUGACUUCCUAGAACUAAAUCGAACGAAAACCCCAACUUUCCACACCUAAGUAACAAAAGGACCUGAGGCUGCUCCCUUUGCAACCCCCUCCCUGCCUUUUCUGCAAGGCAGAUGGAAAACUGAAAGUGCCUCCACCUGGUUGCUUUCUGCAACCAAUCAAUCAGACAUUUGCAUAGGAGUGUAACUUUGUAACUUUGCUUCAGCCUUUGAUUGGUUGCUUUCCACAACCAAUCAGACUGACCGUAGGCCAAAUCUUCAUUUGCAUAGAAGUGUAACCUUUGUAACCUCACUUCCACCUUGGAUUGGUUGCUUUCUGCAACAAAUCAGACUGACUGGGGGCCAUGACUUCAUUUGCAUGGGGUGUACACCAAAUGGCCAAUGGGAAACCUCUAGAGGAUAUUUAAACCCCAGAAAAUUCUGUUACUGGGUUCUUGAGCCCCUAU
rnacentral:lncRNA from 1 species